GCCGGUUGUAGCGUAAUGGGAACGCACCGAGAAGCAUGCGAUAACAAGGCUCGGAGAUAGGAGGUUCAAUUCCUUCCGCUGGCACCA
rnacentral:tRNA from 1 species